CCCUUCAGUCAAGAGGUGUUUUUUCCAUCAUACUCAAGCUUUACCAGCCUGGUUGCAGUGUGACCUCUGCAGGACACAGAUUAAGCAUAUGGACAUCAAUUCCACAUUCUUUAUGGGGAAAUCGCAUGGGCAUUGUUAAGUCAUUUAAUCUAAACUUUGAACGAGAAAAAUAAUAAGGUGAUUAAGGACAACCCAAAGCUACUUGAUAAUGUGAUGCUGAUGGGAUGGAGUCGCCUUUCGCUGCUGAGCUCGGACGGACACUAGUUGCUGAGUGCGGGGAAGAGGCAGUGACAAUUCCCAGAGCCGAUAGUGCAAAAAUUACUCAAGAGCUUGUCUGGGUAAUCCUCCUUGUGUCCUGCUGCAGAAAGCAUGCACAGCUCCUUCCAGAAGGACCCUGGACAUCUCUCUUGAAUUGCCACCCUCUCAUCUUCCGUCAGUAACAUCAAGAGGCGCUGUGUCCCCAGCGUGGCUGGCUCCAGAAGCAGGCUGUAAAAUUGCAGCCGCGCCAAAGGGAGCCUCUCCAACAUGACUGCCCUUCACGCCUUGCAAGAUCCAGCAGCUGCUUAAAAAUGAGUCCUCAGACUUCUGAAGGUCCGUCUAUGUAUUUUCUCCAGCACAUUCUCUGUAAGUUUAGUGGGACAACUUGUAUGUCUGAAAUUAGGUGGGAAACCAAACCAUUCACUGAACAAUCUGGAACAAACCUGGUGUUGCUGGGGCUUCAUCACCAAGUGCAGCUUAUAGUACUGAAUAUCAAGCCCGUUGCUGAUGUUUUUACAGCUCAGCUGUAGGAACAGUAACACAUUUUCUCAGGCCACUAGUGUUUUAAGCUGUGUGCUGAAUGCAAAUCUAAUACAGCCAAGAAAUGCUAAAAAUGCUAUCAGCUGGGAGAAAUUAGAUACAUAUCAUUUAGAAAUGCUCCUCCAGUUGUUUCUCAGAUUAUUUCUUGUUACAAAUAUGCAUCCAUAAUCAGACAUGAAAUUGUAGCUAUUUGGUUAGAAAUGCCUCCUGAGUUUGGGCUUAUUAGAAUACAAGACCAACUGCAGAAGCAGGAAGAGAUUAACAAAAAUAAAAUAACCCCGCACACAUACACAAUUAGAUUUAGCUCUCUCAGCCAUGUAAUUUUAUGAUUGCAGAAAACUGGAAAGUCACAGCUCCUCUAUUCAAUUUAGAUUGCAAUCAGAUUCUAAUUCAGAUUUCAAUUAAUACUUUGGAAAAAUUACCACAAUAGUGAAGAGGAAAAAUGAACUGCAGGGACUCUCCAUACAGAAUGAAAUGAAAGUUACAGUUUAAACAUAUAAGACUGAUUAGAAACCCCGUGUUGUUCGUUAAGGCCACUGCGUACUAGGGAAGGACAACAAAGUCGGAGCUGUUCUUCCCCAUUUUGCUUGGGUGGCUACAAGGAUAACUCACCACACUGG